AUUGAACGCUGGCGGCAGGCCUAACACAUGCAAGUCGGGCUAGCGGCGGACGGGUGAGUAAUGUAUGGGGAACUGCCUGAUGGAGGGGGAUAACUACUGGAAACGGUAGCUAAUACCGCAUACCAUACGCUGACCCCAUAUGGUACUCGCUUGUAGGUAAGGUAACGGCGUACCUAGGCGACGAUCCCUCGCUGGUCUGAGAGGAUGAUCAGCCACACUGGGACUGAGACACGGCCCAGACUCCUACGGGAGGCAGCAGUGGGGAAUAUUGCACAAUGGGCGCAAGCCUGAUGCAGCCAUGCCGCGUGUAUGAAGAAGGCCUUCGGGUUGUAAAGUACUUUCAGUCGGGAGGCGUUACCGACAGAAGAAGCACCGGCUAACUCCGUGCCAGCAGCCGCGGUAAUAC
rnacentral:rRNA from 1 species